rnacentral:rRNA from 1 species
CCGCCAGAGAACUACUAGUGAAAACUUAAAACUCAAAGGACUUGGCGGUGUCCCACAUCGACCUAGAGGAGCCUGUCCUAUAAUCGAUACUCCCCGUUCCACCCGACCUUUACUUGCACAUUCAGCCUAUAUACCGCCGUCGACAGUCUACCCCAUGAGGGCCUAUUAGUAGACACAAUAGCAACUACUCGCUAGUACGUCAGGUCAAGGUGUAGCAAAUGUCAAGGCAGCGAUUGGCUACAUUUUUUAUUUUAAACAAACGAAAUGCAACAUGAAACAUUGCACGAAGGUGAAUUUAGCAGUAAAGU